GUGAACCCUAAUGUAAACUAUGGACUUUGGGUGAUUAUCAUGCAUCAGUAUUAAGAAAAUGUUCCUGCAUAGAAGAGAUGCCAGUAACGUAGAAGGAAUGAAAUGACAAUGCCUGGAAAGCUUUGUGGUGCCGCAGGAUUUGAGAAAGAUUGACUAGGUUUCUUACGGGAUCAGCCACAGAAGACUGAACCUGUGGCUCUCUAUGGUCCUGGACUGUCAGCACUGCCGGAACCACCGUGAUGUUUAAUAGUGUUUCCAGGGGAAACUUCUUUUCCUUGCCAGAGUUGUGAGCUUCUAGUCUACCCAGAAUUAAAUUCUGAUGGCUGUCUCAGGUAGCCACUUACAAAAAGGAGUGUUUGUAAGUAGGUUAUUUAUAAAUAGCAUGCCUCCUAUUUAUGGAUCUUAAAUGCCAAGCAUAUUUGGAAUUCCUUCUGACCUCACCUAGUUUCUCAAUGCCAGCCUCUUACAGAGAUGGAGAGGGGGUUCUGCAUAACCACAAGAAACCCCUCUCCUUUGUAAGUAUAGAUUACCUUUUAAUUGACUUCUCUAACUUUCCACCAGCUGUUUUAGAGUAACAGGCACAAUUUACAUCUGAAAGUUUAUUUUUCCUUAAAAUAUACAUGUGUUUAUCAUAUCUUGAACCGGAACUUCAAAAGGGAAAUUUGGCUCUGUG
rnacentral:lncRNA from 1 species